UUUAGCUUUAUUUCAUAAUUGUCUCAUUCAAUAUGUUUUUAGUUUAUCACUUGUUUUGCUUACUCUGUUUAAGCAGUUGGACAAGAAGAGGCAGACCUAUAGAGAGAACUUAUGUGAGAAUAAUUUAGUAUCUAUGGAUCCUCUUUCAGCUUCAGUUAAAUGACUCCACAUUGUCCUCAGUAUUGAACACCUAAGAAUAACUAAAAGGAAUUCAGUAAAUUGAUGCUGCUACUGCUACUGAAAAUGACAGAGAAGAAGAAGAAAAAAUCCAUUGCAAAUAACAAAAUAUAGAAAAGUAAUUGAAAAUUACUUUGGGCUCAAAAAUUCUACAAUCAAACUGAAGAAAUAUACUUUUUUUCCCUUCAUAUUAAUCAAACCAUCCAAGAAAACAUAUGGAGGGGAUGUAAGUGAAUGAGAGCCAGGGGAAAGCUUGGAUCCUGAAUGAAAAAGACCAGACCGUGGGAGCAGAAGGAGAAAGUGUCACAGUGACCAUGACAUCUUAGUGACGGUGUUUUGUUCAUGCACUCCAUCUGCCUGAAAUACCAAAG